rnacentral:rRNA from 1 species
CCCGGCACAAGCGGCGGAGCAUGUGGAUUAAUUCGAUGCAACGCGAAGAACCUUACCUGGGUUUGACAUAUACCGGAAAGCUGCAGAGAUGUGGCCCCCCUUGUGGUCGGUAUACAGGUGGUGCAUGGCUGUCGUCAGCUCGUGUCGUGAGAUGUUGGGUUAAGUCCCGCAACGAGCGCAACCCUAUCUUAUGUUGCCAGCACGUUAUGGUGGGGACUCGUAAGAGACUGCCGGGGUCAACUCGGAGGAAGGUGGGGACGACGUCAAGUCAUCAUGCCCCUUAUGUCCAGGGCUUCACACAUGCUACAAUGGCCAGUACAGAGGGCUGCGAGACCGUGAGGUGGAGCGAAUCCCUUAAAGCUGGUCUCAGUUCGGAUCGGGGUCUGCAACUCGACCCCGUGAAGUCGGAGUCGCUAGUAAUCGCAGAUCAGCAACGCUGCGGUGAAUACGUUCCCGGGCCUU